rnacentral:lncRNA from 1 species
GGUCCCUUAAAUAAAUUCCAAAUGAAGCUGAAAUAUAACCUACUCUUGGUUUUGCAGUGCAGCUGCCGCCUCUUCCAUUACAGCUUCUCCUCAUCUUUUAUUCUUUCUAAACCACAGGCUAUGUUCAUCUAAACAAGUAGAUCUCAAUUGAAAGUCACAUGUUAGAUCUAAAAUUUUCUUCAUUGCUUUACAUCUUAACCGAGUUAGAUUAGUUUCAAUCCUUCUCACUUCUUCU